CCUGGUUGAUCCUGCCAGUAGUCAUAUGCUUGUCUCAAAGAUUAAGCCAUGCAUGUCUAAGUACAUACCUUUGCACGGUGAAACCGCGAAUGGCUCAUUAAAUCAGUUAUGGUUCCUUAGAUAGUUCAUAUUACAUGGAUAACUGUGGUAAUUCUAGAGCUAAUACAUGCAAAAAGCUCCGACCGUAUGGGAAGAGCGCUUUUAUUAGACCAAAACCAAUGGGGUCGCAAGAUCCCUUUGUAUGGUGACUCUGGAUAACUUUGUGCUGAUCGCAUGGUCUCGAACCGGCGACGUAUCUUUCAAAUGUCUGCCCUAUCAACUUUCGAUGGUAAGCGAUUUGCCUACCAUGGUUGUAACGGGUAACGGGGAAUUAGGGUUCGAUUCCGGAGAGGGAGCAUGAGAAAUGGCUACCACAUCUACGGAAGGCAGCAGGCGCGCAAAUUACCCACUCCUAGAUCGGGGAGGUAGUGACGAAAAAUAACAAUACCGGACUCUAUGAGGCUCGGUAAUUGAAAUGAGUACAGUUUAAAAGCCUUAACGAGGAUCUAUUGGAGGGCAAGUCUGGUGCCAGCAGCCGCGGUAAUUCCAGCUCCAAUAGCGUAUAUUAAAGUUGUUGCAGUUAAAAAGCUCGUAGUUGGAUCUCGGGUACUAGCAUUCGGUACGCUUAAUUGCUGUUACUGUUUGUCUAGUCCUAAUCAAUCGGUUGGCCAUUUAUGCCCUUUAUUGGGUGUUUUUGGUAGCCGAUACGUUUACUUUGAGAAAAUUAGAGUGCUUAAAGCAGGCUUUACGCCUGAAUAAUGUUGCAUGGAAUAAUAGAAUAGGACCUCGGUUCUAUUUUGUUGGUUUUGUAGAGCAUUGAGGUAAUGAUUAAUAGGGACAGACGGGGGCAUUCGUACUGCGGUGUUAGAGGUGAAAUUCUUGGAUCGCCGCAGGACGAACAACUGCGAAAGCAUUUGCCAAGAAUGUUUUCAUUAAUCAAGAACGAAAGUUGGAGGUUCGAAGACGAUUAGAUACCGUCCUAGUUCCAACCAUAAACGAUGCCAACUAGCGAUUAGCUGCUGUUAAUUAAACGACACAGCUAGCAGCUUCCGGGAAACCAAAGUUUUUGGGUUCCGGGGGAAGUAUGGUUGCAAAGCUGAAACUUAAAGGAAUUGACGGAAGGGCACCACCAGGAGUGGAGCCUGCGGCUUAAUUUGACUCAACACGGGAAAUCUCACCCGGCCCGGACACUGUAAGGAUUGACAGAUUGAGAGCUCUUUCUUGAUUCGGUGGGUGGUGGUGCAUGGCCGUUCUUAGUUGGUGGAGCGAUUUGUCUGGUUAAUUCCGAUAACGAACGAGACUCUAGCCUGCUAAAUAGUACGCCGAUCUUUAGUACGCCGAUCUUUAGU
rnacentral:rRNA from 1 species